UUACGGCCAUAUCACAGUGAAACAGUGCUUCUCGUACUAUCACCGAAGUUAAGCAACGUCGAACGUGGUUAGUUGUUACAUGGGUGACCUCUUGGGAAUACCGCGUGCUGGAAG